rnacentral:rRNA from 1 species
UACGUAGGUGGCAAGCGUUGUCCGGAUUUACUGGGCGUAAAGAGCGCGCAGGCGGUCGUUCAAGUCGCGUGUGAAAGUCCCCGGCUCAACUGGGGAGGGUCACGCGAUACUGAUCGACUCGAAGGCAGGAGAGGGUAGUGGAAUUCCCGGUGUAGUGGUGAAAUGCGUAGAUAUCGGGAGGAACACCAGUGGCGAAGGCGACUUUCUGGCCUAUAACUGACGCUGAGGCGCGAAAGCGUGGGGAGCAACAGGG